rnacentral:tRNA from 1 species
AGGGGCAUAUCUCAGUGGUAGAGCAUAUGCUUAGUAUGUAUAAGACCUUAGAUUCAAUUCCCAUGGCCUCUG